UAAGGGCGCACGGUGGAUGCCUUGGCACUAGAAGCCGAUGAAGGACGUUACUAACGACGAUAUGCUUUGGGGAGCUGUAAGUAAGCUUUGAUCCAGAGAUUUCCGAAUGGGGAAACCCAGCAUGAGUUAUGUCAUGUUAUCGAUAUGUGAAUACAUAGCAUAUCAGAAGGCACACCCGGAGAACUGAAACAUCUUAGUACCCGGAGGAAGAGAAAGAAAAUUCGAUUCCCUUAGUAGCGGCGAGCGAAACGGGAAGAGCCCAAACCAACAAGCUUGCUUGUUGGGGUUGUAGGACACUCUAUACGGAGUUACAAAGGACGACAUUAGACGAAUCAUCUGGAAAGAUGAAUCAAAGAAGGUAAUAAUCCUGUAGUCGAAAAUGUUGUCUCUCUUGAGUGGAUCCUGAGUACGACGGAGCACGUGAAAUUCCGUCGGAAUCUGGGAGGACCAUCUCCUAAGGCUAAAUACUCUCUAGUGACCGAUAGUGAACCAGUACCGUGAG
rnacentral:rRNA from 1 species